CUUGAAGAAAUUUAUCCCCAUUUCAGGUGAUGUAACCAAGUCCAAUUGCUCACAUCCUUCUGGUAAUCCAGCCUCCACACAAGGGAAUUGGAUGAUUAGAAUGUCAAUUUUGUGACCCAUAAGUGUAUUUCUCUCUAUUGAUUUGCAUAAAACUGGGGCGUUGACAGGUGUGGUGAUUAUGCUUACCUUCAGGCCUCGCGAAGCAAAUAGUUUGGCCAUGUCUAUGAGGGGAAUGAUAUGGCCUUGAGCCAUGAAUGGGAAGAAGAAAACAUGAAGCUCAUGUCUUUUUUCACUGUCCAUUAGAUCUUGCAAAGAUGAUCUAACUGAAAGCUUAUUAAGCUAAAAUUUUGUUCCAAGAAAGAAGUCUUAAAAGGGUUGAGCUACAGAUUUGGAAAGGAAAUUCUUGCCUUUUGAUUUCCUUAUCAAGUGCCGUCCUCAAUCCUCUUGAAUAACAUCCGCCAGAUCAUGUUGACAUGACAUCAUCAAUCUGACAAAAGUAAAAAUGGCCGUCCGUUAGAUCAUGUAAAUUUGCGUCAUUACCUGUAAUACGGAUGUAGGCAACGACACGCAACCCCUAAGUUAAUUAUCCCCUCCAUCAAUGACCAGAAAAGGGUAGGAUCCUGCGAAAGUGGACAUGUGGUCUUGUGGGGUGAUUGUUGUUUGUGGUAAUGGCUGGUUACUUGCUAUUCCGUGAACAAAAUAUCAUGGUGAUGUACAAGAUCUAUAACGGCGAGUUUCUGUGUCCUACAUGGUUCUCUUUGGAACUCAUUAGAAUCCUUUCGAAGCUUCU
rnacentral:misc_RNA from 1 species